AAGGUGGUAAAGUGAGACUCUGUCUCUACAAAAAAACAAAAACAAAAACAAAACAAACAAAAAAACCCCAGAAAAAUUAGUUGACUGUGGUGGUGUGUUUCUGUAGUCCCAGCUACUUGGGAGACUGAGGCAGGAGUUUGCAGUGAGCUACAAUGAUGCCACUGCACUCCAGCCAGGGCAACAGUGCAAAAAAAGAGAGAGAAAAAAAAAGAAAAAACAAUGAGAGGGAUAAAGCCAUAGUUAUCCUUAACUACUUUAAUGGUAUCUUUCUUUACCCAUAAGCUUAGAAGUUUUACACUGUCAAAUCUGCCUGUGGCCUUUGGGGAUUUGUGACAUGCUACCUCAAGAUUAUUAUAAAAUAUUCUCUUGUACUUCUUUCUGUUAUAGUUGUGUAUUUUCAAUUUAUAUCUUUAUCUUUUUUUUUGAGACAGAACCUCAAGCUGUCGCCCUGGGUAGAGUGCUGUGGCAUCACAACUCACAGCAACCUUCAACUCUUGGGCUUAAGUGAUUCUCUUGCCUCAGCCUCCCAGAUAUCUGGGCUACAGGCACCUGCCACAAUACCCAGCUAUUUUUUGGUUGUAGUUGUCAUUAUUGUUUGGUGGGCCCACGCUGGAUUUGAACCCGCCAGCUCUGGUGUAUGUGGCUGGAGCCUUAGGCGCUUGAGCUACAGGCACCGAGCCUUACAUCUUUAUCUUAACUGCAGUUUAUUUUUGGGUAUGGUGAGAAGUAGUAAGACAUGCCAGACUUAAAAGGGACUGGUGAUACAGUGGCUGAGGUACCAGUGUAGAAGUCAGAAAGUGGCCUAGGCGUGCUCCUUUGCCGCCUCUAUAAUCUUGGACAAAUUAGUUCACCCUCUCUGGGCCCAAGAAUCCUGAUCUUGAAAAUGAGAAUAACGAGUAAACACCUAUUCAGGCCUGCAGAGCCAGGUCCAGAGGAGACGCGCACAGCUUGCAUUGCCUGCGCUCUACUUUCACAGCAGCUAGUGAAAUCUUCUCUGUCCUGUGCACAAUGGCAACUCUUAAGGAAAAACUCAUUGCACCAGUUGCAGAAGAAGCAGCAGUGGUUCCAAACAAUAAGAUCACUAUAGUGGGUGUUGGACAAGUUGGCAUGGCGUGUGCUAUCAGCAUUCUGGGAAAGUCCCUGGCUGAUGAACUUGCUCUUGUGGAUGUUCUGGAAGAUAAGCUUAAAGGAGAAAUGAUGGAUCUGCAGCAUGGGAGCUUGUUUCUUCAGACAUCUAAAAUUGUGGCAGAUAAAGCUUACUCUGUGACUGCCAAUUCUAAGAUCGUGGUAGUAACUGCAGGCGUCCGUCAGCAAGAGGGGGAGAGUCGUCUCAUUCUGGAACAGGGAAAUGUUAACGUCUUCAAGUUCAUUAUUCCUCAGAUGGUCAAGUUCAGUCCUGAUUACAUCAUAAUUGUGGUUUCCAAUCCAGUGGACAUUCUUACAUAUGUUACCUGGAAACUAAGUGGAUUACCCAAACACCGUGUGAUUGGAAGUGGGUGUAACCUGGAUUCUGCUAGAUUUCGCUAUUUUAUGGCUGAAAAACUUGGCAUUCAUCCCAGCAGCUGCCACGGAUGGAUUUUGGGAGAACAUGGCGACUCAAGUGUGGCUGUGUGGAGUGGAGUAAAUGUGGCAGGUGUUUUCUCUCCAGGAAUUGAAUCCAGAAAUGGGAACAGACAAUGAUAGUGAAAAUGAAGGAAGUCCAUAAGAUGGUAGUUGAGAGUGCCUAUGAAGUCAUCAAGCUAAAAGGAUAUACUAAUUGGGCGAUCGGAUUAAGUAUAGCUGAUCUUAUUGAAUCCAUGCUGAAAAAUCUGUCCAGGAUUCACCCAGAAUCAACAGCGGUGAAGGGGAUGUACAGUAUUGAGAAUGAAGUCUUCCUGAGCCUUCCGUGUAUCCUCAAUGCUCAGGGAUUAACUAGCGUCAUCAACCAGAAACUAAAGGAUGAAGAGGUUGCUCAGCUCAAGAAAAGUGCAGAUACCCUGUGGGACAUCCAAAAGGACCUGAAAGACCUGUGACUACUGAACGCUAGGCUGUAGGAAUUAAAAAACCACAAUCUGAUUAACCCUGAGCCUUUAGCUUUCAUCCAGGUACAUGGAUCAUAGUUUGCUUUUAUCUUCCUGAAUAUGUGAAUUUGGGCUCACAGAAUCAAAGCCCAGGCUUGAUUUAAUGCUUGCAAAAGGAGCCCUUGAACAAAUAAAAUUAACUAUCUUAGUGUGAAAAAAAAAAAAAAACCUAUUCAGAUGAAUUUCUGGUAUGCCUGUGAGGAUCAAAUGUGGUAAUUGAUGACAAGGCCUUGAGAAAGAAAAAAGAAAAAAACUUUGCAAAUCUAAAUUAUCACUACUAUAGGCUCAGCUCCUGUAGCUCAGUGGGUAGGGUGCUGGCCACAUACACUAAGGCUGACGGGUUCGAACCCAGCCUGGGCCAGCUAAAAUCAAUAAUGACAACUACAAUAAGGAAAAAAAAAUAGCCUGGUGUUGUGGCAGGAGCCUGUAGUCCCAGCUACUUGGGAGACUGAGGCAAGAGAAUCGCUUAACUCAAGAGUUGGAAGUUGCUGUGAGCUAUGACGCCACAGCACUCUGAGACAUAAUGAGACUCUGUCUCAAAAAAUAAAUAAAUAAAUAAUCAUUACUAUGGAUUCUUGGUUGAUGAAAAUUGAAUGUAAGUGGAAUGCAGCAUUAUUUUUCAGUACCUGUAAAUUGUGGAUUGAUUCAACAAAUGUUUAUUGGAUGCCUUUGUUAAGACCCUGGGAGAGGCUGGGCAGUGGCUCACAUCUGUAAUCCCAGCACUCUGGGAAACUGAGACAGGUGGAUUGCCUGAGCUCACAAGAGUUCAAGACCAGCCUGAGCAAGAGUGAUCCUCCCCCCCUAAAAAUAGCCAGGUGUUGUGGCAGGCCACAACGACAACAACAAAAAGACCCUGGGAGAGGGACAAGGAAAAAGAGAAAGAUGGAAACUUUACAUUUUGGGUGGUGCCUGUUUUAUUCUGGUUUACUUAAUAAAGGAUAAGACCUAGUUCUCUCCGCCCAGGAAUGUGCUGUCUAGAAACUGAGAAAACCGGUACAAGUAUUCAGCACAUAAUAGAUACUGAAUAGUAAGAGAGUUUGUACUCUAUUACUGGGGUGUGGAGCCAGUGGGGUUUCUUGAUAAGCAGAUACUAUGAAGGUCAAUGUUUUAACUUAUUUUGUAACAAUAAACCUGGCUGAUAGCACUUCAAAAGGCUUCGCCUAGAAUCCUUUGCCCCCAGGCAGGCCUUCUCCUGUGUGACCUUCCCUACCCCCUUUUUCCCUCUGGCCCACCCCAUCAUUCAUUCAGAUAGCAUCAUAAAGAUUCCUGAUCUGUCUUUUCCUGCACUGGCUCUCUAUCUGGUUAGGGAAAGCCUGAGUGUUUUCUCCUUGAGCCUGCCUUGGGCCAGUUGAGCAGGGCUAACAAGUUCUGACUUACCUUGGUGAGCGUUCCACUUCGUUGUGGAGAUCAUGCCAGUCUCCCUGGCUGGCCUGUUAGCUGGAGCCCACAGGGCAGACGCAGCACCUGGGGUAAUGCCAGCCAAGUACACAGAAGUAGACACUCAGUCAAUGUUUGCUGAACAAGCUGAACCCAUUUCCCUCCCUGAGAGCCUGUGGGGAGGUGGAGUGAGGGGGUUGUG